rnacentral:rRNA from 1 species
GACGUAGGGUGCAAGCGUUGUCCGGAUUUACUGGGCGUAAAGAGCGCGUAGGCGGUCUGUUAAGUGAGAAGUGAAAGCUCUGGGCUCAACCCAAAAAUUGCUUUUCAUACUGGCAGACUGGAGUGAUGCAGAGGUUUGUGGAAUUCCUGGUGUAGCGGUGAAAUGCGUUGAUAUCAGGAGGAACACCGAUGGCGAAGGCAGCAAGCUGGGCAUUAACUGACGCUGAGGCGCGAAAGCGUGGGUAGCAAACAGG